UUACGGGUGAGCAGCGGCCUUUUCUCUCUCUUGCUCUCUCACCACUCAGCUCACAGUUCUGUCUAACCAUUGACAGGACAGCACCCAUGACUCAACUAACCGGGCUAGUGCAUGGAUUUGGACUGUGCUAUUUGUUAACACUGCCUCUAAUAUUUUCACAUGGCGAGGCGCUGCAGUGCUACGGCUGUAACAUCCUCCAGGGCCAGAAGUACGUGGACGUGGGCUGCUCCAGCCCAGAGGUCAUCACUUGCUCCCACUCCCACAAAGGCUUCAAGCACCGCUUCUGCAUUAGGACUGAGAGCAGUGCCCUGGGCAUCGUGCUGACCAGUGGUUGUGCCACGUCUCGACACUGCCAACAACAGGAGCUACCUGGGGUGCUGAUCCAUUGCUGUGGCUCAGACCUCUGCAACAACACCCCCGACUGGAGCAGAACGACAUUACACUGGCUGUGCUCGGUUGCUACACUGCUGCUCAUACUCUGGCUGCAAUUGUGAGAGAGAGUCGCUGAGCAGAAUCACACUGACUAGGGCCCACUUCUGCCCUACUGGUCAAUCCUGUGGCUGUGUCCUGGAUCAGUGGUUUCCAACCAGGGGAACUAGGCGCCUGGGGGUACUUGGCUAUCCACAGGGUGUACUUGAGAAGACUCAUUAGACAGUAGGUCUACUGGUAAAAUGUACUUCAGAGGUACUCCAGAGCAGAGCAACAUUUGGUUGGUGGUACGGUAACCAAAAAGGGUUGGAAACCAUUGUCCUAGAGAAAAGCUAAGGCUAAAAUGAGAUUAUGAAGGUAGCUAGCCAAAUAAGGGUUUUUGUGGUGAAUAGGUGACAGUAAUGAUGUGGAUCAUAUGCU
ensembl:lncRNA